UACCCGAGACUCCAUCUGGUCCAUCAGCAC
rnacentral:sRNA from 1 species